rnacentral:rRNA from 1 species
UGGGGAAUUUUGGGCAAUGGGCGAAAGCCUGACCCAGCAACGCCGCGUGAAGGAUGAAGUAUUUCGGUAUGUAAACUUCGAAAGAAUAGGAAGAAUAAAUGACGGUACUAUUUAUAAGGUCCGGCUAACUACGUGCCAGCAGCCGCGGUAAUACGUAGGGACCAAGCGUUGUUCGGAUUUACUGGGCGUAAAGGGCGCGUAGGCGGUCGAGUAAGUCGGAUGUGAAAUCCCCGGGCUUAACCUGGGAAUUGCAUUCGAUACUGCUUGGCUAGAGUGUGGAAGAGGGAAGCGGAAUUUCCGGUGUAGCGGUGAAAUGCGUAGAUAUCGGAAGGAACACCAGUGGCGAAGGCGACCACCUGGACUGAUACUGACACUGAGGUGCGAAAGCGUGGGGAGCAAACAGGAUUAGAUACCCCCGUAGUCCCUGAGCGGGCUGGCAAGGCGCAU